rnacentral:rRNA from 1 species
GUGGGGAAUAUUGGACAAUGGGCGAAAGCCUGAUCCAGCCAUGCCGCGUGUGUGAAGAAGGUCUUCGGAUUGUAAAGCACUUUAAGUUGGGAGGAAGGGCAGUAAGUUAAUACCUUGCUGUUUUGACGUUACCGACAGAAUAAGCACCGGCUAACUUCGUGCCAGCAGCCGCGGUAAUACGAAGGGUGCAAGCGUUAAUCGGAAUUACUGGGCGUAAAGCGCGCGUAGGUGGUUUUGUAAGUUGGAGGUGAAAUCCCCGGGCUCAACCUGGGAACUGCCACCAAAACUGCAUGACUAGAGUAAGGUAGAGGGUAGUGGAAUUUCCUGUGUAGCGGUGAAAUGCGUAGAUAUAGGAAGGAACACCAGUGGCGAAGGCGACUACCUGGACUGAUACUGACACUGAGGUGCGAAAGCGUAGGGAGCAAACAGGAUUAGAAACCCUAGUAGUCC